GAUGAAGAACGCAGCGAAAUGAGAUAAGUAAUGUGAAUUGCAGAAUUCAGUGAACCAUCGAAUCUUUGAACGCACAUUGCGCCCGGCAGUAAUCUGCCGGGCAUGCCUGUCCGAGCGUCAUUUCUCCCCUCGAGCGCAGCUUUCCCCCCCGGGGGAGGGCCGCGCCCGGUGUUGGGGCGCUACGGAGGAGCCCAGCGCUCCCCCGUAGGCCCCGAAAUGUAGUGGCGGUCCCGCCGCGGCGCCCCCUGCGUAGUAGUUUUACAACUCGCAUCGGGUCCCGGCGGAGGCCAGCCGUCAAACCCCCCAACUUCAAUAGUUUGACCUCGGAUCAGGUAGGGUUACCCGCUGAACUUAAGCAUAUCAAUAAGCGGAGGA
rnacentral:misc_RNA from 1 species